rnacentral:rRNA from 1 species
UUAAGCGACUAAGCGUACACGGUGGAUGCCCUGGCAGUCAGAGGCGAUGAAGGACGUGCUAAUCUGCGAUAAGCGUCGGUAAGGUGAUAUGAACCGUUAUAACCGGCGAUUUCCGAAUGGGGAAACCCAGUGUGUUUCGACACACUAUCAUUAACUGAAUCCAUAGGUUAAUGAGGCGAACCGGGGGAACUGAAACAUCUAAGUACCCCGAGGAAAAGAAAUCAACCGAGAUUCCCCCAGUAGCGGCGAGCGAACGGGGAGCAGCCCAGAGCCUGAAUCAGUGUGUGUGUUAGUGGAAGCGUCUGGAAAGGCGCGCGAUACAGGGUGACAGCCCCGUACACAAAAAUGCACAUGCUGUGAGCUCGAUGAGUAGGGCGGGACACGUGGUAUCCUGUCUGAAUAUGGGGGGACCAUCCUCCAAGGCUAAAUACUCCUGACUGACCGAUAGUGAACCAGUACCGUGAGGGAAAGGCGAAAAGAACCCCGGCGAGGGGAGUGAAAAAGAACCUGAAACCGUGUACGUACAAGCAGUGGGAGCACGCUUAGGCGUGUGACUGCGUACCUUUUGUAUAAUGGGUCAGCGACUUAUAUUCUGUAGCAAGGUUAACCGAAUAGGGGAGCCGAAGGGAAACCGAGUCUUAACUGGGCGUUAAGUUGCAGGGUAUAGACCCGAAACCCGGUGAUCUAGCCAUGGGCAGGUUGAAGGUUGGGUAACACUAACUGGAGGACCGAACCGACUAAUGUUGAAAAAUUAGCGGAUGACUUGUGGCUGGGGGUGAAAGGCCAAUCAAACCGGGAGAUAGCUGGUUCUCCCCGAAAGCUAUUUAGGUAGCGCCUCGUGAAUUCAUCUCCGGGGGUAGAGCACUGUUUCGGCAAGGGGGUCAUCCCGACUUACCAACCCGAUGCAAACUGCGAAUACCGGAGAAUGUUAUCACGGGAGACACACGGCGGGUGCUAACGUCCGUCGUGAAGAGGGAAACAACCCAGACCGCCAGCUAAGGUCCCAAAGUCAUGGUUAAGUGGGAAACGAUGUGGGAAGGCCCAGACAGCCAGGAUGUUGGCUUAGAAGCAGCCAUCAUUUAAAGAAAGCGUAAUAGCUCACUGGUCGAGUCGGCCUGCGCGGAAGAUGUAACGGGGCUAAACCAUGCACCGAAGCUGCGGCAGCGACGCUUAUGCGUUGUUGGGUAGGGGAGCGUUCUGUAAGCCUGCGAAGGUGUGCUGUGAGGCAUGCUGGAGGUAUCAGAAGUGCGAAUGCUGACAUAAGUAACGAUAAAGCGGGUGAAAAGCCCGCUCGCCGGAAGACCAAGGGUUCCUGUCCAACGUUAAUCGGGGCAGGGUGAGUCGACCCCUAAGGCGAGGCCGAAAGGCGUAGUCGAUGGGAAACAGGUUAAUAUUCCUGUACUUGGUGUUACUGCGAAGGGGGGACGGAGAAGGCUAUGUUGGCCGGGCGACGGUUGUCCCGGUUUAAGCGUGUAGGCUGGUUUUCCAGGCAAAUCCGGAAAAUCAAGGCUGAGGCGUGAUGACGAGGCACUACGGUGCUGAAGCAACAAAUGCCCUGCUUCCAGGAAAAGCCUCUAAGCAUCAGGUAACAUCAAAUCGUACCCCAAACCGACACAGGUGGUCAGGUAGAGAAUACCAAGGCGCUUGAGAGAACUCGGGUGAAGGAACUAGGCAAAAUGGUGCCGUAACUUCGGGAGAAGGCACGCUGAUAUGUAGGUGAAGUCCCUCGCGGAUGGAGCUGAAAUCAGUCGAAGAUACCAGCUGGCUGCAACUGUUUAUUAAAAACACAGCACUGUGCAAACACGAAAGUGGACGUAUACGGUGUGACGCCUGCCCGGUGCCGGAAGGUUAAUUGAUGGGGUUAGCCGCAAGGCGAAGCUCUUGAUCGAAGCCCCGGUAAACGGCGGCCGUAACUAUAACGGUCCUAAGGUAGCGAAAUUCCUUGUCGGGUAAGUUCCGACCUGCACGAAUGGCGUAAUGAUGGCCAGGCUGUCUCCACCCGAGACUCAGUGAAAUUGAACUCGCUGUGAAGAUGCAGUGUACCCGCGGCAAGACGGAAAGACCCCGUGAACCUUUACUAUAGCUUGACACUGAACAUUGAGCCUUGAUGUGUAGGAUAGGUGGGAGGCUUUGAAGUGUGGACGCCAGUCU